GAUGGAAGAACGCAGCGAAAUGCGAUACGUAGUGUGAAUUGCAGAAUUCAGUGAAUCACCGAAUCUUUGAACGCACAUUGCACCUCUCGGUAUUCCGGGAGGUAUGCCUGUUCGAGCGUCAUUUGUACCCUCAAGCUCUGCUUGGUGUUGGGUGUUUGUUCCGCCUCUGUGUGUGAACUCGCCUCAAAACAAUUGGCAGCCGGCGUACUUGUUUCGGAGCGCAGCACAUUUUGCGAUCCAGAUCAACGUACAGCGGCAUCCAAGAAGCCUUAUUUAACGCUCUUGACCUCGGAUCAGGUAGGGAUACCCGCUGAACUUAAGCAUAUCAAUAAGCGGAGGA
rnacentral:misc_RNA from 1 species